GUCUAGAAUCAAAGGAAAAUUUUAAUAGAACAUCAUUGCAAAGACAUUACUUGUUUUCAACAGUACAAGGGCCAACCAAGACAAAUUCUAUUCACCAUAUUUGGUAAGCACUAGGUCUCAAUUUUUAAUUUUCAAAAAAGAAAGCUACAUGGACCACUAUCAGUGAUUAAUUUACUUCAUAAAAAAUGUAACAACUGAUAAUAGUUUUCCAAAUUCUACUUCACACAUCAAUCUCAAGUAGGGAAAUAAAGCCAUACCUUUCCAAUAAUACUUGCAUUGGCGAAGUCCAGCUCAGAAGGGUCAAUUCCCCAGUCACACUUGUUUGGGAGAGGGGGUGGAACAGGCUUUUGUUCAAAAUGGUUGCCAGUUUGACCCUGCAAACCACAAGCCGCCGUA